rnacentral:tRNA from 1 species
GGGGCUGUGGCGGAAUUGGUAGACGCACUGGAUUUAGGUUCCAGCGCCGCAAGGUGUGAGAGUUCGAGUCUCUCCAGCCCCACCA